GAUGAACGCUGGCGGCGUGCCUAAUACAUGCAAGUCGAGCGAAGCGGGGACGGGUGAGUAACACGUGGAUAACCUCCUAUAAGACUGGGAUAACUUCGGGAAACCGGAGCUAAACCGGAUACUUAUAGUAGGAUCCGCGCUGCAUUAGCUAGUUGGUAAGGUAACGGCUUACCAAGGCAACGAUACAUAGCCGACCGCAGAGGGUGAUCGGCCAAACGGGAACUAGGACACGGCCCAGACUCCGACGGGAGGCAGCAGUGGGGAAUCUUCCGCAAUGGGCGAAAGCCUGAGGGAGCAAGGCCGCGGGAGUGAUGAGGGUCUUUGGAUCGUAAAGCUCUGUUAUUAGGGAGGCGGUACCGAAACAGAAAGCCACGGCUAACUACGUGCCAGCAGCCGCGGUAAUUC
rnacentral:rRNA from 1 species